GCAUGAUAGUAUUGUUGAUCCAGUGAACCCUAUGUUCUGUUUGAGCUAAUCUUCUCGCACAUUGAUGUAAACCUUGACAUUGCUGAUGGUUCAGCAUGCACAGCAUUUAUUCAGAGAAAGAGUUUUCUGUUGGAGAAAUACUUGCUGUACAAUUGUUUCUCUGGUGUGAAACAUUUUUUUUUGGCAAAGCUUUAUUUGGUUGAUUGAUCAUGUCUUGAAGAGUUCUACAGUCUGGGCCUUCAUAAAACAAGGUACGCGAAGCCGCAGAAGCCAUUAAACGUCAGUCUUGGGAUACCAAACUCCCUUGCGAUGUCACCUGUCCACCAGUGCAUCAUGUCUGAUAUGAAGCAGCUUGGAGAUUGGCGUUGCUGGCUGAGGUAUGCAACGAG